GGAAAAUGAAAAAUCUGGAACAUCAUACAGAAAACUCCAAGAACAGCACAAUUGUGUGCAUUUUCAUGCUAAAGCCCUACGACCCCAAAACUACUGCUCCUUACUACAUGAGCUAAAGUCGACCAUCCCAUCUCCUUCUAUCAUGGGACACAUAUUUCAUCCUAGCCACCUACAAGUUGAAUAUGAACCUUAGCUGAAAUUAAUAGAGAUAACUAGACAUCCAUCUUUUUCAUUAAGAUCCUACUAGUGUCCAACCAAAGCGUCAGAUCAAUAGAAUUGGUGAGGCCCAAUAUGCAUGGAAUCCCACACAAAACCUUUUCAUGCUGUAAGGACAGACACUAAAAUUAGGUUCCACCAUUAACAAUGAUGAUAAAUAGAUUGUGGCGCAACCAUUUUUUCUAAAAGCAGAAAAAAAUUUUUAUGCUAUCUGCAGAAUAGCAAGCAAGCAAUUUUAUGUUAUAAUUUUAGAAAUACGAGGAAACCUCAUAAUGUACAAAUGGGCGGAUGGGGGUAGAUAGGUUUUGAAAAUAUGAGUAUAACCAAAUCUGCACAAAUGGGUAGAUGGGGGUAGAUAUGCAGAAAAAUGCGUGAAUGUACAUAUGAAGAGAGUAGGGGGGUUAGAAGGGAGGGGAGAGAGUUUCU
rnacentral:misc_RNA from 1 species